UACAGAGGGGGCAAGCGUUGUUCGGAAUUACUGGGCGUAAAGGGCGCGUAGGCGGCCUGUUAAGUCGAACGUGAAAUCCCUGGGCUCAACCCAGGAACUGCGUCCGAUACUGGCAGGCUUGAAUUCGGGAGAGGGAUGCGGAAUUCCAGGUGUAGCGGUGAAAUGCGUAGAUAUCGGGAGGAACACCAGUGGCGAAGGCGGCGAUCUGGGAAGAUACUGACGCUGAGACGCGAGGGCGUGGGGAGCGAACGGG
rnacentral:rRNA from 1 species